rnacentral:rRNA from 1 species
GAUAAACGCUGGCGGCGCACAUAAGACAUGCAAGUCGAACGGACUGAAACCUAAGUUCACUUUGGUGGAAGUUAGUGGCGGACUGGUGAGUAACACGUAAGCAAUCUGCCUAUCAGAGGGGAACAACAGUUAGAAAUGACUGCUAAUACCGCAUAUGCCUAAGUAACACAUGUUACAAUAGGGAAAGAGCAAUCCGCUGAUAGAUGAGCUUGCGUCUGAUUAGAUAGUUGGUGGGGUAACGGCCUACCAAGUCGACGAUCAGUAGCCGGACUGAGAGGUUGAACGGCCACAUUGGGACUGAGAUACGGCCCAGACUCCUACGGGAGGCAGCAGUCGGGAAUAUUGCGCAAUGGAGGAAACUCUGACGCAGUGACGCCGCGUGCAGGAAGAAGGUUUUCGGAUUGUAAACUGCUUUAGACAGGGAAGAAACAAGACAGUACCUGUAGAAUAAGCUCCGGCUAACUACGUGCCAGGCAGCCGCGGUAA